AACUAAAUUAAAUUAUUUUCCUUAAGGGACGUCUUGGACCAAGUAACUGCUGCAGUGUGGGAUUUCUUCAGUAGGGGCUCGAGCAUUGCAACCUCUUUCUAGGUUAGGACCUCGUUGCUUGGAAAGCACACUUGCCUCGCGGUUAGAACUCGCCAAGUAAAUCUCCAGGUAGAGGACGAGGCAAGGGCAAAGGCAAGCUGGCGAGCGACCCGAAGUGACCGUGGUGAGCCUUAGGGACUUUUGUUUCCGC